AGUGCUGUAGGCAAAUGGCUUAAGCCACUUGAAUUUCAAUCAAGCGAAUUGCGGGUUCAAAUCUCGUCAGCACUA
rnacentral:tRNA from 3 species